GUCAGAGGCACAGUGUUGGGGGGGGGGAAGCGAGUUUAGUAUUGCAAGCAAAAUUUACUCAGAAACAUCCAUGGAAUUACUGAUCCGUCAAUGGACAAGCCAGUGUUUUCCAAGGAUACAGAAGCCUUCUACCUUCACAAGUCCGUAUCCUGGAGUCCAAGAAAUUAUUAGAAGAUAACAUGUCUUCAGCUUUUACACAAUACAACACAGGCAAAGCUCACUCUCACUUAAAGAGGGCGACUCUCUUUGCCUCCUUUUUGGCCACAGAGAAAACAAAAUUGACUCAAAGAAGGACGUACUGGUGAGUGCUGGAAAGAGCAAACGGAGUUGGAGCCAGAGAAUCUCAGUUUGGAUCCCAGUUUCCUGUGUGACCUUGGGCAAGGCUGACAUGACUUUCGCUCCACGUUGGGCGUCCUGGGCAUACUGGCGUCCGGGCUCGUCGAUGAAAAGAAACACGGUCCCUUUGAUACACGGCUAGAAUGGCAAAAGGAGGAGUCUUCCCGGGCCUAUUUAGGCUCAUUAGAGACCUGAUUAUGAUAGUUCUCUGGUGUAAUCUUUAAUCGACUUUGACACUGGAUUCGCCCCGUUACAAAUCCUGUCAUGCAAAUUAAGUCAUUUGUGUUGUUUGAUAUGGAAAGAUCUCCUAUGAAAUGAAAGAUUAGUUCACAGAUGAGGCACCAGAGACUGCUGCCCUUGUGCACACGG